rnacentral:rRNA from 1 species
CCUACGGGUGGCAGCAGUGAGGAAUAUUGGUCAAUGGGCUUACGCCUGAACCAGCCAAGUCGCGUGAGGGAAGACUGCCCUAUGGGUUGUAAACCUCUUUUGUCAGGGAGCAACGCCGGCUACGUGUAGCCGGACUGAGAGUACAUGAAGAAAAAGCAUCGGCUAACUCCGUGCCAGCAGCCGCGGUAAUACGGGGGAUGCGAGCUGUAUACGGCUUAAUUGGGUUUAAAGGGUGCGUAGGCGGAAUGCAAAGUCAGCGGUAAAAUCGCGGGGCUCAACCUCGCUCCGCCGUUGAAACUGGCGUUCUUGAGUGCGCGAGAAGUAGGCGGAAUGCGUGGUGUAGCGGUGAAAUGCAUAGAUAUCACGCAGAACUCCGACUGCGAAGGCAGCAUACCGGCGCCCAACUGACGCUGAAGCACGAAAGCGUGGGUAUCGAACAGGAUUAGAUACCCUGGUAGUC